AGGUCUACCAGAUUAUGUCUCGGGGACUGGGAUGGUUGGUCCAGCGUGUCCCGGGGUCUUCGCGUGUGUUAGGGCGCACAGGCGGCCCUUGUCGGCCCGACCAGUUGUUGAGGGGCGACGCUGCCCGGCGUGCAGCAUUGAGGGGUCCAUGGCUGGGUGGUGUCGGCAGUUUUUGGCACCUUGCCCCCUUUCCAUCUCCUCCCCUCUGGAAUUCCUGGAUGGAUUAAGACAGAUUGGUCCUUCCGCACACAAUGUUGUGGCGACCUUGAACUUUGAGUCCUUGUACCCGUCCCUAAACCUAAAC
rnacentral:lncRNA from 1 species